AAGGAACAGGGGACACUUGUAAUGGAGAGCACUAAGCUAUGGACUGCUAUGGACUGCUGGUGCUCUCCAUUACAAGUAUCCCCUGUAACCU
ensembl:miRNA